rnacentral:misc_RNA from 1 species
GUGAAUCAUCGAAUCUUUGAACGCAUAUUGCACUCUCUGGUAUUCCGGAGAGUAUGCCUGUUUGAGGGUCAGUAAAAUCAAAAUCGGUGCGAUGCCCUUUGGGUGAUGCACCGGAGUUUGGGUAAUUUUAACCCUUUUUUUUUAGAGACCUAAAAUUUACAUUCUUUUUUCCUCACUCUUGUGUCGUACAUAUUUUUUUUUUAUUCGUAUACAUUGGUGGCUAAUAUUUUAUUACAUCGUGAAUCAC